rnacentral:lncRNA from 1 species
UAUCCUUUGCUACAAAGAUCAAUACCGGCAGAAGUAUUUUUUUGUUAAGAUACAGUAGCCUUGGUGCAAGGUUGUGGUUUCUGCCAUCUUUUGUGAUAGUAUCAUAUAGCCUCCAGUGGAAUGUUGAGUUGGUCACGUCUCACGGGCUUUGGCUCUCUGCAUGCCUGGGUAAUUUUUUUUUUUAUUUUGAGACAGAGUCUCACCAUGUUGCUCAGGCUGGUCUUGAACUCCUGGCCUUAAACAAUCCUCCUGCCUUGGCCUCCCAAAGUGCUGGGAUUACAGGUGUGAGCCACUGUGCCCAUGCUUGAUUCGUUUUAAAUUUUUCGUAUAAGGUGUGAGAGGUUUUAGCCAAGUUUUUUGUUGUUGUUUUUGUUGUUGGACUAUGGACGUCCAAUUGCUCUAGCACCACUAGUGGAAAACAUUAGUCAUCCUUCAUUGUACCUUUGUCAAA